rnacentral:rRNA from 1 species
CAGGCCUAACACAUGCAAGUCGAGGGGCAGCGAGAGUGUAGCAAUACACUUGUCGGCGACCGGCGCACGGGUGAGUAACGCGUAUCCAACCUUCCCCCUGGUAGGGGAUAGCCCGGCGAAAGUCGGAUUAAUACCCUAUGUUCUCCUUUGAUGGCAUCUGACGAGGAGCAAAGAUUUAUCGCCAUGGGAUGGGGAUGCGUCCGAUUAGGCAGACGGCGGGGUGACGGCCCACCGUGCCGGCGAUCGGUAGGGGUUCUGAGAGGAAGGUCCCCCACAUUGGAACUGAGACACGGUCCAAACUCCUACGGGAGGCAGCAGUGAGGAAUAUUGGUCAAUGGGCGUAAGCCUGAACCAGCCAAGUAGCGUGAGGGAUGACGGCCCUACGGGUUGUAAACCUCUUUUGCCGGGGGAUAAAGUGCCGCACGUGUGCGGCUUUGCAUGUACCCGGAGAAUAAGGACCGGCUAAUUCCGUGCCAGCAGCCGCGGUAAUACGGAAGGUCCGGGCGUUAUCCGGAUUUAUUGGGUUUAAAGGGAGCGCAGGCGGGGUAUUAAGCGUGACGUGAAAUGCCGCGGCUCAACCGUGGAAGUGCGUCGCGAACUGGUUCCCUUGAGUGCGUGCGACGUUGGCGGAAUUCGUGGUGUAGCGGUGAAAUGCUUAGAUAUCACGAAGAACCCCGAUUGCGAAGGCAGCCAACGAGUCCGUAACUGACGCUAAAGCUCGAAGGUGCGGGUAUCGAACAGGAUUAGAUACCCUGGUAGUCCGCACGGUAAACGAUGGAUGCCCGCUGUCGGCGACAGACUGUCGGCGGCCAAGAGAAAUCGUUAAGCAUCCCACCUGGGGAGUACGCCGGCAACGGUGAAACUCAAAGGAAUUGACGGGGGCCCGCACAAGCGGAGGAACAUGUGGUUUAAUUCGAUGAUACGCGAGGAACCUUACCCGGGCUUGAACUGCAGGGGAACGAUACAGAGAUGUUGAGGCCCUUCGGGGUCCCUGUGGAGGUGCUGCAUGGUUGUCGUCAGCUCGUGCCGUGAGGUGUCGGCUUAAGUGCCAUAACGAGCGCAACCCCUGUCCCCGGUUGCCAUCAGGUGAUGCUGGGCACUCCGUGGAUACUGCCACCGUAAGGUGUGAGGAAGGUGGGGAUGACGUCAAAUCAGCACGGCCCUUACGUCCGGGGCUACACACGUGUUACAAUGGGCGGUACAGAGAGCCGGGCGUACGCAAGUGCGCUCCAAUCUUGAAAGCCGCCCUCAGUUCGGAUUGGGGUCUGCAACCCGACCCCAUGAAGCUGGAUUCGCUAGUAAUCGCGCAUCAGCCAUGGCGCGGUGAAUACGUUCCCGG